CUUCCCUUCCCUUCCCUUCCCUUCCCUCUCUGAUGUUACUCAUCAGUGUAGAAUUUUCAAGUAUAUAAAAAGGGAAUGCCCUGAUAAAGCACAGUAUGAAAGCAUGACGAAACUUCAGUUUCAUCUGAAUGAGUCCAUCCUUACCUUGUGACCUUCAGGGAGCAGCUGUGAUCUCUGAAACAUGAAGGUUCAUUCUGCGGUGCGUCAUUAAAAGCGUUUCAUUGUUGGACAGUGCAGGACUCUUACUGGGAAAAUUGCUACUCUUGUUUUCUGUCCUGAUCCAGCUUCCCCUAGAGCUAAAAGAAAUCUGUUGUGCUCAGAGGGUAAAUGGCAAGGGAACGAAGCAUUUACUUCUGUUGUGCAGAAAGUCCAUCCCAAACUUGUCCAUAUUUCUGAUGCUGGAUGCAGUCCAUAGGUAAAAUUCUGCAGAGAGCAGGCCUUUGACCUACCAUAGAAGGUAAGAUAUCCAAAGAGACCAGCCAGAAGAUACAUGAUGAGCAUGCCAGUGAUGGAGAUAUUUGAGACAUUCUGCAUUCGCUUUCGGGAGCGACUGGAGUAGGAGAGAAAAAGAGUAACAGUACUAUUCUUAUAAGCCUCUGUUUGUACAAGAAGUACUCCGAGGAGCCUCUACUGAUAUUCCCUCAUUGGCUAGAAAGUUUAUAGCAGCUCUGUGCACUAUACAAAGCUCCUGGAGCUUUGCAACAAUAGCUAUGCACAGAAAAGCACCAAAAAAACUUUAUUUCUACUGCUUACUGAGUGACAACAUGUAAACAUUUUUUUUAUUUUUAAUUUUUUAAAUAUAUCAUUAUUUCUAUACUGUAAAUUUCAAAUGCAUUUUAAACAAAAAAUGGAUUAGCUAACACUAUAUGGCUGGUAACAAUAGUGAGACAAGAAUAUUCCUUUUCAUCUACAUAGCGCUGUUCUGCAGGUUCAAGUAUCUCCUGUAAGUCAGCUCCUUUCUUCAGAGAACCCUCGGUUAAAUAUUUCUUUAUAAGGAGAUCUUCAGCUUACAGAACCUGGAAACAAAUUCCAAAUCAUCUGAUAAUUCUUAAUUCUGAGGUUAAGCAUGUUAAAAUAGGAGGUAAUGGAGCUUAAAUGGCUCCUUGAGUUUUGCAACACAAACUUCUGCAAUAUAAUUCUUGUUGCUGAACAAGUGCAUUUUCUUAGCCUUUCCCAACUAUCAGCUCUGUGCUAGUUUAAGCAAAUGUAUUUGAUUUUGAUACUUGAUAAUCAAAAUGGGGUGGGUUAAGAGUCUGUGUAAGACGCUCAAACCAAUGGCAUCCCAGGGAACUUUAAGAGUAAGCGACAGCUGACUCUGACGAAGAAACUCAUGAAGAUAUUUUUAGAGACCAGAAUUCUCUGUUUCAGCACUGCCUGUUGUGCAGCCAAAUUCCCCAUCAUAUUUCAUGUCAUUCAAAGGGCUGUCCAGACUCAUCCUUUACUUAGUAAAUAUUAAUGCAGCUCUAUGAACAUCAGUUCUUUGUCAGUUCUUUGACUAAAGCAAAGCUGAUAUCUGUUUACUAUGGUGCAAAAUAAAUCAUUAUCAGGUAGGUGCCUAUACACCAGCAAUCAAGGCAAAACAGGAAGAAAGUAAUCUCUGCUAUGGUUAACUGGAAGUACGGGACAAAAUUUAAGAACCUUACUCUUUCAGUUCACUGUAUAUUGGUAGCACCUCAGGGUGGCAUACGAAUGCAAAUGCCAGGAUGGGAAUUGCAUAGGCAGUCUGUAAAAUAAAGCUCCCAUUAGUAAGAACGGUCACUGCUAUAAGUCUCUGACUUUUGGCAGGCAGCAGUUUAGCUGUGGUACAAACAGAAAAAGGCAAAUUCGACAGAAUUUCCCUUACCCGUGAGUUGAACACAAAGUAUUUGGGCUGACACGAGUCACUGCUGUCGCUGUGUGCUUCAUAUUCUACACCACUUCUGAGGAAAGUAUCUCUAGGCUCC